GCUUUCAUAGCACAGUUGGUAGUGCAAUGCAUUCGUAAUGCAUAGGUCGCCGGUUCGAGUCCGGCUGAAAGCU
rnacentral:tRNA from 1 species